AACCGAUUACGUUAUGUGACGAGGCAAAGCACAGGUUUGGUUGAUUUUGAUAUCCUCUUGCCAUCAAAAAAGCAGACCAUAUAAUAUGUAACCACGAUUAAUUUUUUGAGGAAAUUCCCUUGCCUUUUAACAAAGCGGUCAUAUUGAUAUACAGUUCUGCUCGAGACUUCUCAUGCACGGAUACCGUUCAUGAACUGAGCGAUUUCACAUAAGGCAAUGACUUUGUGGUACUACUAUCAUUGGCAACGAUUGCUGUGUGGUUCUAUUAUGGCCAAGAGAUGAUAGUGGGACAUUUUUUAAAUAUAAUGUGGGGAAACCGAAAUUACAAGAGGAUUUUGGGAGCUGGAUCUUCAACCAUUGCUCAGAUCGACCAAGCCAAAUUGGACAAACAAAAAUAUAAUCGUGGCAGCAGAGUUGUAAGUCAUUGAAUUUUGGAUCUGGUAAAUACCCCACCUCUCCCCAAAGAAAAAAAAUACAGAUGGUAUUAGUGUUAAAUACUAGGGUGAAAACAUUAGUUUUAGCAAUAAAAGGAAAUGUUGUCGUUGAUAGUGAAAUCUAUAUCUAGUGUUUCAAAAGUUAUGCCAUGCUAAUUGCAGAGGAAUAUCUACUUAGAAUAGUCAAUCAUAACAUGGAUUUUGUAGGUAAGCUAGGAUUUAAUUUGGGUUAGUAUUUACUUCUCAGCCGUCAUGAAGUGGCUGGUUAUUUUAGUACAAACUAAUUUUUGGUCAAUUCAACUAUAGCUCUUGAUGAUAUGUAUACAAAAAAAAAAAAAAAGAAAAAAAGAAAUAGAAUUCAAUUGGUGGCCAGCUAAGGAUUGGAUGAGAUGAAGAGGUCACUUACAUGAAUUUGCAGAUCACUUGUGCCAAUUUUUGUAGUGACGGUUUUGUCGUCAUAACAACAUCGACUUGAUGGCAUCCUUGAUAGAAGUGAUCUGAAGACAAUAACAAGAAUGCGAUUUUGUUCCUCCAAAAUCUUAGGGUUUCUUCAGUAUGGAGCGGUGGAAUUGGACUCUGGCUAGCUUAAUCUCUAUUUGUUCUUCUUCGUCGUGGUAUCAUAUGCUUUUGAGCUUUGUUGAUACCUGUGGUAUCUGUGGUAUUUCUGUAUAAAUAUUUAGGGGUGUAGGGUUUGUCACAAUGUUUUAAAUGUUGGUUUUACAGCAUAGUAGGUGGAUACAUAGUUUCGUUGGUAAACAUUUCUUCAAUAAGUCGAAUAUUCCUAUUUUGUUAAGAAGGUAAAUUCCUGUUAAUCUUAAGGCAGUGCAAUCUGCUAUUUGCAAAAAUGAAAAUCCCCAUGAUUUAAUUGAUUGUAUUCAGAGAGAAUAUAUUAAUUGAUUGAUUUGAUCAGAUAUUUGGUCCAAAUUGUUUUGAUAUUCUGGAAUAUGACUAAAGAUUCUAGGCGUUCUCUCAAUCUUGUCUAACGAGUAGUUUAUUCUAGUAUCGUUUUCAAAAGGAAUCGUUUUAAGCUUAUACUCAAACGUUACGUUGUCUUUAGAUUGUCUUAUUUUCAUUAUACUAUCGUUAAAUAUUAAAUUACAUUGUUCAUCUGGAGAUUGAGUUAUAGAGGGUCUGCCUAUCUUAAUUUGUUUUUAACUGGCAUCGCAAAGUAUGUGAAUUUCAAUUUCUUUUUGUGGUAUGACUAUGUAUUGGUGCCCGGCUGUUAGUGGAAUAAAAGUUAUGUCUUCGAUUUUGUAAACAGCAAAUUUACAAAUAUCUAUCUUUCUGCUAAAGAUAAUGAUUUCUGACGCACAAUCGUAAAUGGAUUUCUUAUCGUGUAUGGCUUGUGUUUGUUUGCACAUUGUGAUUCCUAUUUUCGUGGUUACAAUUUUUAUCAAGGUAUUCAUUGUCAACAUUCAUAUAUGCAAAUUGAUGCGUUAAGAAUAUUGGAUGUUCAAUUACGGGUGCCAGAAAUGCAUGGCCUCUUUUAGUCGGUAUAAGGUAUACUCGCACUAUAUUCCAUGCCGAAUCUGUUUGCAAAGGUACGGUUAUUUUAAAAUAAACUUUAGCUUCGACAGUGAAUAUCGUUAGUCUUGAUAUAUCUAGAAUGAAUUGAUAAUUUUCGUAUUUUGGUUCUAAUGUUCUGUUAUAAAGAUGAUGUCCUAAUGCUUUCUUAUAAUUUUCGAUAAAUGGUACAUGAUCAAUAAUCUGAGGGCUAAGGAUUCGUACUUUUCCCAUGCUUAUGACAUUAAAGAUUUCAUCAAAUUGGAAAUUGCACUUUCUGCUUGAAUUAUUAAAUCUGUUAUUAGUCUCUCUCUUGUAUUAUUAACGAUGUAUUGUAUUGUAUUAUUCGUCAAAUUUAACUCUCAUUUCGUCCAUUUGUUUUAUAUUGUGAGAUUUUAUGAUUUUACGUAUGAACGCGGUUCGAUUGUAACUAUAGUUUUUAAUUCGUUCCCUUCUUGAAAUAAUUUGUCAAUGUUAGUAUUUAUUAGGUCUAAGUCAUCGGUGUCAAGAGUAACGAAUAGACUUUUCGAUAUAGAUUAGUGUGUAAGUUAGUGUGUAAUUGUGUGUUAAAAGUCGUAAUUGGUAUGCUAAAGUUUCUAAUUUUUCUAUGUGUUGGUUUAGAGAUAUUAUUUCGUUAUGAAGUUCGCAUUUGGUUUUACAUACUUUCUCGAUGAACAUGACAUUCGCUUUCUUAUGAUUCAGUUUUUCGUAUACAUCGUUUAUAAAUGAUGAGAUAUAUCUGCCUUUAUAUACAUAUAAAUUUCGUCGAAAUAUAAGUAUGCUUGCUUAAUCUUUUCAUGAAAUAUCCCACUGCCAUCUAAUUGUAAAACGUUAAUUCCUUCGUCAAACUUAGCGUAAAUUAGUGUUUUCGUCAGCUCGUCGUGAAUUGAUAGAAUAAAUUGGUUUCCUCGCUUAGUCUUUGUCAUUGGUUCUAUAAUGUCCAUGACUAUUUUGUUGUUGGGAUUUAAAGGUGUGUCUAAAAUUACUGGUUCUUCUUUAAAACGUCACAAUUUUUAAUAAAAUCUUCGAUUUUACUCAUUAAAUUUGGGAUUUUAUAUUGUUCUUUGAUUCUUAGGUAUGUCUUUUGGAUUCCUAAAUGUCCUAUCGUACCAUUAUGAUUUUCCUAAAUUAUUUUUUCUAUUUCUUCCUCUUUUAAUUCUUGGAUUGGGUCCCAUGCAAAAGUGACAGGGUGUCAGGUAUCGUUAAAGAAUAGAAGUAUAAACUUGAUUUGAUUCUUUUCUAAUUCUGUAAACGUGGUGUCUCCUAUACCUACUUUCUUGUUAUUCCGUAAUAUGUUAUUAAUUUUUUGUAACCAUAUUGUCUCGUCAAACUCUCCUAAUUCUGUUUUAGUUAGUUGAUAGAAAGAUUGAUCGUUAAGUUUUAUUUCUAAUCGUUUUGGGAUUUCUGAUUUCUCUUUCCAUUCCGUAAAAUGUUGUAAGAAAUCUAAGACUACUGUUCUUUCUGGGGUUCCUACUUUUUGAAUCGUGUGAAUUCGAGAUAAGCUAUCUGCAACUGGAUUGUCUUUGCCUUUAACAUAUUCGAUUCUGUAUUCAUAUUCUUCUAACUUUAGUCUCCAUCGCAUUAAUCUAAAUGAUGGGCCUUUGUAAUUAUUUAACCAUUUCAAAGCUUGAUGAUCUGUUCUAAUAAUAAAUUUUCGUCCUAACAAGUAUUGUCGUAAUCGUUUCAAUGCCCAAACUAUCGCUAAUAGUUCUUUCUCAGUCGUCAUAUAAUUCUUUUCCGAUGGAUUCAGUGUUCUGGAAAUAAAACAACAUGGAUGUCCGUCUUGUGAAAGAACUGCUCCUAGUCCUUCGUUACUUGAUCUUUGUAAAGAUCUUUGUAAAAUCUGGAUAAGUCAAGAUCGGUGCUUCACAUAAUUUUUGUUUCAACGUUUCAAAAUUGUCUUGUUUGUUUGUCCAGUGAAAGCCAAUAUCUUUCUUAAUUAAGUCGUUCAAUGGUUUGGCUAUCUUUGAAAAGUUACGUAUAAAUUUUCUAUAAUAUCCUGUCAGUCCUAAAAAUGAUUUGACCUCGGUUGGGUUCCUAGGCGUCCUAAAAUCUUUCACUGUUUUGAUUUUCUUUGGGGUUGGUUUAACUCCUUUGGCCGUUACUAAAUGCCCUAAAUAUUCAAGCUUUGGUUUGAGGAAUUCACAUUUUUCUGGCUGUAUCUUGAGUCCUAAUUCUCUAAGUCUUUGCAAAACUAUUGCUAAAUUUUGAUUAUGUUACUGAAUUAUAUCCUCGAAUAUUAUUAUGUCGUCUAAGUAAGCAAAACAGUGUUUGUUGAUUAAACAGUUUGUUGAUUAAACCUCUUAAAGCUGUGUCCAUCAUGCGUUGGAAAGUCGCGGGUGCGUUCUUUAGUCCAAAUGGCAUUCUGCUAUAAUGAAAGUGUCCCUGAGGUGUUGAAAACGCAGUGUAUUUCUUUGAAUUCAUAGGUAUUUGAUGAAAUCCUGAGAAUAGGUCUAACGCGGAAAAGAAUUUCGCAUUUCCUAAUUGGCUCAGUAUGUCUUCUAUGUCAGAUAAAAGGUAGGCGUCUUGGUCUGUCAGUUCGUUAAGUUUUCUAAAAUCUAUAACUAUUUGUGGCGGCACUCGACAGCAAAUACCACCGGACGACACCAACUAGUGUCACGUAAUAAAUGACGAGAUGUCAUAAAAAAAAGGCGAAUGAGCAAUAGCCCAUUCGUAUGCUUUAUUAAUACGACAAUAUUACAAUUCAAUUGUAGAAUAUAGACUGACUUACUGACUAAAGGACUGGGGUUUUUAUAUCUUCAUUAUGGUUCACAUAUCUUAUGGGUGAGAGUUCGGUUAUUGUUUAUUCUUAUCGUUAUCGCAUGACUAAGUGUUAUCGACAUAUCCGGAGGUCGGUAGAUGUCUGGCUUUUGGGUGAUGUCACUGAGGUAGAUUUACGUGUUACACUCCCCUCUUCGUAGAGUGAAUUUAAUCCUCUAAGUUCUUGCAUUUCUUCAGAAUCGAUGGAUGAAAUUUGGCCUUGAGCGGUGUUGAUAAUUCAAAACUUACUCUUGAUUCUCUUUCUGUUUCAGGUUGUACAGGUAACAUCGGUGUGUAAAUGUUUAUGGAGGCGGAAGGUGUUGCAGUAUUAACGUUAGGUGUGUUACUAAUGGUGCUUUCUUAAUUUUGUAGCAAAAUAUGUGAAUACAUAGGGUUGGCAGUCCUAUGUUACUAAGCAGAUAUAAGCAUAUGAGUCUAAUGGAUAUAUAUCCUAUUAUUUCCAACAUUGUGAGACCCCAAGUUUUAAUUUGUGUCAUUCUGUGUGAAAAAGUUUAUUGAUUGGCUCUAUCUUCUAUUUGAUUCAAGGUAUCAGUAUAACCGUUUAGGUUGCUCAUUACUUUAGGAGUCUUUUCUAAGGUAUCAAGCAUUGAGAAUAAAUCUACGUUAUUAGUUAUAUUUAUGGUUUUGAUCUUAACAUCGUAAGAAAUGCUUUUGGGAUUGCCACUGAUUCUCAUAUGGUUGCCUCCAUACAAUAUAUCUAUAGUUAUUUUAGUUUUCAACAGAGAGGGUUGCUUCAGUUUGACAAUUUGAUGUCCUUCUUCAUAGGAUAUAUUGAGUUCUAUUGGUUUUUCUGGUAUAGCUAUGUAGUGAUUUUCGUUUUUGAGUGGUACAAAAGUUAUUUCUACGAUCUUAUAGAUUGUGAAUUUACAAAAUCUUAUGGUAUUGUCUACACUAAUUAUUUCGGAUGUGCAAUUGUGUUUUGAACGUAUAUCAUGUAUGGGUUGAGUUUAUUUGUACAAUUUUAAAUGUACAAUUCGUGUUUGAUUCGACAUUGCUUGUCCAAAUACAUCUGGUCUACAUUCAUAUAAAUUAAUCUUGAGGUGAAAAAUAUCGGAUGUUCAACUAAUGGGGCGAGAAAUGCUCCAUUCUUUUGAGUCGGUAUGGAGUAUACCUGUUCUAUAUCCCAUUCUGAGUCAAUUAUUGUUGGAAUUGAAAUUUUAAAGAAGAUCUUUUUUCUUUGGACAAACAGUGUGAGUGUAGAGACGUCUAAAAUGUUUUGGAAAUUAUUUUCUUCUGGUGAAAAUCCUUUAUUUAUGAUGUGAUUUCCUAAAGCUUUAGCGUAUUGUUCUAAGAAAAUGUGAUGAUUUAUGAUCUAGGGGCUAAUAAUUCCUUGUUUUCCUAGUAAAAUUAAAUUGAAUAUUUCAUUGAGUUGAAAGUGUAGAUCUGAUAAAGCGCUUUCUAUAGAAAUAAUCUUGACUACUAAAAGUUCUCGCUUGUUUACUUGAUUUAUUUCAUUUUGUAUGUCCGCGUUUACUUUUUCUAAUUGUUUUAGGCUGUCGGUGUUUAGGAUUUUCUCAAUUAGAGCGGUUUGGUUAGCUACAAUGUUAUUUAAUUUGUUUCCUUCGCUAAAUAGUUUGUUGAUAUUCUGGUUUAUCAAUUGUAAAUCGUCAGAAUCUAAGGUUCCGAAAAGUGUUUUGCUGAUUGAACCUAUAGCGUCUAUCAAUUCUCUUUUAACUCUAGAAUGAGUUAGUAAUCCUAAAUGUGUUUCUGGCGUUUUGACGUUAUUAAACUUGUUGGUUAAGGAAAGUAUCUCUGGUUUUACUUGACAUGAGGUGGUACAAUGUUUUUGUUAAAUAUAUCGCUUAAAUCUAUUCCUAUGUAUACGUUAACUUUUUCAUUAUUCAAAUAGGCUUUAGAUAUUUUCUCGUGGAAAAUUGCGUUAUUUUCGAUUGGCAUUAAUUCCAAUCCGAGCACGAGGGCUGUGCAUGAGAUGAGCGUCCUGAAAAGUAUGAUUUAAUUCUGUUACCAUAUACCUUUGAGGUGGAAUGUCGUGAUAGGUGCGGAAAGAAUACUCAGAUGUUCAACAAAAAGUUUAUUACUAUUAACAAUCAACAGGUCAACAAUUUAUACGAUUCACACUCAUGAUUAACCAUCGAGAGUUUACAAUCGCGUAUCUCGGCUUGUGUUUGCUUCGCUAUGAUGCUGAACCUUUCCCACUUCGCGGCUUGAGGCAGAAUGACUCUUUUGUUGGAAACCAAACGAAUUCUUUCCUUAGUUGCCCUUCGAUAUCCCUACUACACAUGCGUUUAUUAGAUGUACCGCGGCGGUUGACGCGCAUGCAUUCUUCCGAACAUUCGGCGGAAGAACCGAUGUCAAUGGCACAUUAGGCACGUCGGCCUUACGCUUUGUAGAUAUAGCGCUUUGUGUCGCGAAGCCGUUGGAAAGUUCCGUGCUCGAGUGCCGCCACACCUUCUUAAUUUGGUUACUGAUUAAAAUCUCGUAAUAAGGAGUCAUAGCUUUUUCGAUGUGGUAAGGACUUAACCAUUCAUCGUCCAAUUUAUCUGCUUUGUGAUUAUUAUGUACAAGAACUGCGUUUCCUUCUUUAAAUACCGUUUGUGUUUUAAUGAUUUUUCUUUGUUGGUCUCUUCUUUGUAGCGUUUUCUACUUUGUUCAAGUGUUUGUCUAGUGUUUUGUAUUUGUCCAAUUGUUUAUGCCAUAGUGCCAACAUUUCUUCAUACGUGUAGUUGGAGGUUCUGGAUAUUGAGGAUGGGAGGUUAGCUUUUUGUCCAAAAGUUAGUUCAAAAGGUGAAAAACCGAUUGCGUCGUGUAUUGCUGUGUUAUAUCCCAAGCAUAUGAAGUUUAAUACUUCGUCCCAUUCUUUGUCUGAGUCGUUUAGACUUGUUCGUAUUAUGUUUUUUACCGUUGCAUGUGUUCUUUCUAGGGAUCCGUUAGAUUGUGGGUGAAAGUUGGUUGUUAUUAUCAUGAGUUCUGUUCUUAGUCUGUUAGUAUAGUUUGUUAUUAUAUAUAAGUUGGGGUUGAUAUUCAAACUGAUUCACACGGAUUGAUUAUCACAGCUUUUAUUUCUACUCCUUGUACAAAACGUCUGAUCACACCGGAUACGCCUAAGCAAUUAACACAUGGUCGACUUCUAAGACAAAAGAGCGUCAUUAGAAGUCGUACCAACUUAGCUUAUAGGAAUUAGCGGUCAUACCAACUCAAUGUUUCUCAACACUCCCCUUUGAUCGCUAGUUUCUACAAGUCCCAUAGCUUUGGUAAAAUAUUGAGUCUUAACUCUAUUUAAUCCUUUGGUGAGAAUGUCGGCAACAUUCUCAGAACUAGAUAUAUAGACAUAAUCUAAUAUCCCUUUCGACACGCAGUUCUUAACAUAAAAAUAAUGCACUUGGAUAUGCUUAGAACUUUCAGCAACUACUUCAUUCUUGGACCAUGAAAUAGCUCCAAUGUUGUCAUAGAAGAUUUUGCAUGGACCAGGACAAUAUGACGAUUGACCUAACUCCCUUAACAAUAAAGACAUCCACACGGUCUCUCUAGCUGCUUCUUGCAUCGCUACGAACUCCGCUUCGCAUGUCGAUUGAGAUAUAAUUGGCUGUUUCUUCGACAACCAAGAUAUUGCUCCACCAGCGAGUAUGAAGACAUACCCGCUUCUAGAUUUCCUAUCUAUUGCACAGCCUGCAAAAUUUGAAUCACAAAACACCUUCAAAGAUUGUCCUGUCCUUUGGUAUACUAGCUAGUUAGAAAAUACAGCCUGUGGCAAGCCUCGUGGCGUAACACACUUCUAAGACAAAAGAGCGUCGUUAGAAGUCGUACCAACCUAGCUUAUAGGAACUAGCGGUCAUACCAACUCAACGUUUCUCAACAUAGUUUUUAGGUGCUGCGAAGAUGUAGAUGUAAUGAUUCAAUAAGGCAUCUAUUAUGGAUUCGGUUCCUUGUGUCUUGAAAGGUGUUAAUAUCAGGUAGUUGGUCAAAUCAUCAUGAAUAGAGAGUAUACGUUGAUUUCCUCGUUUAAUUUUCUACGUGAGACCAAUUAUGUCCAUUGCUACUUUUUCGUUUGGUUCAGUGAGGGUUUAAGGUAUUACGGGAAUUUCUUUCGCGCGGAUUCUGACAAGUUUCUGUUUUUGACAUGCUACACAAUUUUUUAUAAAUUCCUCUACUUUUGAGAACAAAUGUGGGAUUUUAAAUCGUUCUUUGAUUUUUGCGUAAGUUUUGGCGUGUAGGCAGAUGUCUGCUUUUGGGCGACGUCAAUGAGGUAGAUUUGGGCGCUACACUUCCGUAGUUCCAAAGGUCUUCUGGGUUCGUAGAUUGUGAAUUUGUCAUUUAGGAUGACCGUAGUCCACGUUAGUCCUUCCCAUAGGUAUGGAUGUCCUUGUUUUCCAAACGAAGCGAUGUUUCACAAUCCUGACAGGAUCGCCAAAAUCUUACGUAAACUUGUGACUUAGAUUAUAAAAAAGAAGGUUGAGCCAUAGCCAGACUCUUAACUUUCUUUUAUCAAACUUUAUUAUAAAUUCAAUGAUUACAAUAGUCUUACAGAGGUAGUAUAAUAUAACGAAUCAGAGAAAGACUGAACAAGAACUGUCUGAGCCUGCUGGAAUCUCGGCUUAUAUGUGUUUUGGUUUGGGGAUGUUGAAGGGCUUGAUGUAGGUUAUGAUGAUAAGAAGGUGGUGCCGUGUGCAAAAGAGUGCAAAGGUAGGGGAAGAAGUCUUAUCUCUGACGUAAAUUAAGGUAUGGCCAAUGUCACAGCAACAAGUAACGAACAAACGUUCGUUCGAAAUAUUAUUUGAAAUAUCGUGAACUAUUACGAGUUAUUUACAAGUAAGUAUAGAAAUAAUCUGUCAGCAAAUAGAGUUGAAGGGAAAUAAUAUACAUGUCAUGAGAUAUUCAAAAAUAAAAAAACGAUCUUGUUGUGUAAGCCGACAUUGUGAAGAUCGAUAGAUUUCAUGCGCAUGAAACGUGAACGUAAGCGGCGAAUAAUAAUUGUAAUUCGAAACUUUCACCAGCUAGCUGCGAAUAUUGCAUUAAUGUGUGUUAACGUGUACAACUAGUGUUUGUAGUAUAUCAAGUUAUUUUCCUUCUUUUCGUUUAA